rnacentral:rRNA from 1 species
UCCUGUCUGAACAUGGGGGGACCACCCUUUAAGGCUAAGUACUCUCAUGCGACCGAUAGUGAACUAGUACCGUGAGGGAAGGGUGAAAGCACCCCGAUGAGGGGAGUGAAACAGUACCUGAAACCGGAUGCCUACAAGCAGUGGGAGGGUCCUUGAGACCUGACCGCGUACCUCUUGCAUAAUGGGUCUGUGACUUAGUGUAUCAAGCAAGCUUAAGCCGUUAGGCGAAGGGCAGCGAAAGCGAGUCUGAAUAGGGCGCUAAGUUCGACGUAUGACGACCCGAAACCAGGUGAUCUAUCCAUGAGCAGGUUGAAGGUUGGGUAACACCAACUGGAGGACCGAACCCGUGAAUGUUGAAAAAUUCUGGGAUGACCUGUGGAUAGGGGUGAAAGGCUAAACAAACUCCGGAGAUAUCUGGUUCUCUGCGAAAGCUAUUUAGGUAGCGCGUCGGAUGUUUACCGCCGGGGGUAGAGCACUGGAUGGGCUAUGGGGACUCACCGUCUUACCAAUACUAACCAAACUCCGAAUACCAUGAGUACAGCUUUGGAGACAGACAUCGGUGCUAGUCCGUAUCGUCAAAAGGGAAACAGCCUAACCAUCAUCUAAGGCCCCCAAGUCACGGAUUAAGUGGGAAACGAUGUGGGAUUGCUUUGACAGCAGGAUUGUUAGCUUAGAAGGCAGCCAUCCUUUAAAGAAAGCGUAACAGCUCACUGAUCAAGCGAUCCUGCGCGGAAAAUGUAACGGGGCUCAAGCCGUGCGCCGAAGAUAUGGGUUUGCAGUUUACUGAGCGGUAGCGGAGCGUUCCGUAAGCCUGUGAAGGUCAACCGUGAGGUCGCUGGAGGUAUCAGAAGUGCCGAAUGCUGACAUGAGUAGCGAUUAUGCGGGUGAAAAGCCCGUCGCCGAAAGUCCAAGGGUUCCUGCGCAACGUUCAUCGGAACUGGGUUAGUCGGCCCCUAAGGCGAGGCUGAAAAGCGUAGUCGAUGGGAAGCAGGUAAAUAUUCCUGCACCAGCUGGAAGUGACGGAUGGCAUAACUUGUAAGGGCUUAUUGGAUUGUCCUUGCAGGGGCGUUGUCCCAGGAAAUAACUCCAGCAGAGACCGUACCCGAAACCGACACAGGUGGUCAGGUCGAGUAUACCAAGGCGCUUGAGAGAACUAUGUUGAAGGAACUCGGCAAAUUGCACGCGUAACUUCGGAAGAAGCGUGACCCUUUUGUACGCAAGUAUGAUGGGGUGGCACAGACCAGGGGGUAGCGACUGUUUACUAAAAACACAGGUCCGUGCGAAGUCGUAAGACGAUGUAUACGGACUGACUCCUGCCCGGUGCCGGAAGGUUAAAAGGAGGUGUGCAAGCACUGAACUUAAGCCCCAGUAAACGGCGGUGGUAACUAUAACCAGUCCUAAGGUAGCGAAAUUCCUUGUCGCAUAAGUUCGCACCUGCACGAAUGGUGUAACGACUUG